rnacentral:lncRNA from 1 species
GGUUCGGAUGUCACUUGUGGUGCAUGUGCAAUAUUUCAUACGCAGAUCACGCAUAUAUACAGCAUAACAUCUACUUCACGUUAAGUGGCGCCAACCCGGCCCCUCUCGUUACCAGCUCGCGCCCGAACUGUCAUUUCAAACUAUGAAUUCCCAUCCUGCACCGGGUUUGAACUCCGAAAUUCUCAUUGCGGCUAGAUGAAGAGGCAGGCCACCUCAAAGCCAGCUCGGCCCUCUUCUCCCGCUCCCCCACUGCACCAGCUUCACUACUCCACCCAAACUGCACCAGCUUCACUACUCCACCCAAACGAGGGAUAAUCCAAUGGGAGUUUCUCUCACAUCACCUAACCAUCACCUUAAUGCUAUCAUGCACCAGGGAACCGUCCGGAUAAACAGCAACAAAUUCCAUGUAUUGUCACAAGGGCAAAGAAGUCACCGACUGAGGCUAGCUAAAAAAAGGCCGUGCUGGGUCUACAGCAUUCCACAUCGUGUAUUUAAACAGUUCCGUCGUAUACAGCAUCCUUCAAGGAUUGUUGAAGAAACCCGUCGUUAACAGCAGCUGCUCUACCUCAGCAGCCGAACUACAUGCUUCCAGUUCCGGCCCCAAUCGCCGUGUGGCACCAGAGUGACUCCAAGCCAGUAACGUAGGGACCCCAGUCAGACGGAGCUUUGGAUCCACCCUGUGUACGGCAGCGGCACAAGAAGCGCCCCGCGAGGAUGCGAGGGACCCGGGCGGAUAGGGCCAAGGGGGGAAUGAAAGGAAUACGGAGGAGGACGAGAUACGGAAGGGCAACGAAGGCGUGCUUUUCAAAUGUUCCGUCUCCCUAGCUAAAGGAGUACGGCAGCACGUUACAGCACGUAAAUGGACGCGCCGUUAACGAAUAAACGGGUCAUCGUGGAAAGAGCGCAUUUCUCACAAAGAGCGAAACCACAGACGACGCGCGGCUCCAAAGGUUCAAGGAAAUGCAGUGGGCGAUGCAUGGUCAGGUGCAGCAAACAAACAACCUAUUGAGUAGAGCUGAAAUGUUGAACUUCGGAACUUGGCAGAAACUUGGGGGAGCCCUAAGCGCCACAGGCCGCCCCUGCGCCUUGCCGUACCGUACGGCACGACCGAGGAGCUGAACAGGCCAGACUCUGCCGCCUGCAUCGCCGUAC